rnacentral:rRNA from 1 species
GACGAACGCUGGCGGCGUGCCUAACACAUGCAAGUCGAACGGGUCCCGCAAGGGAUCAGUGGCGAACGGGUGCGUAACACGUGAGGAACUUGCCUAUCGGCGGGGGAUAGCCGGCCCAACGGCCGGGUAAUACCGCGUACGACCUUUGGGGGGCAUCCCCUGGAGGUGAAAGCAGCAAUGCACCGAUAGAGAGCCUCGCGGCCUAUCAGCUAGUUGGUGAGGUCACGGCUCACCAAGGCGACGACGGGUAGCUGGUCUGAGAGGAUGAUCAGCCACAUUGGGACUGAGACACGGCCCAGACUCCUACGGGAGGCAGCAGUGGGGAAUAUUGGACAAUGGGCGCAAGCCUGAUCCAGCCAUGCCGCGUGAGUGAUGAAGGCCCUAGGGUUGUAAAGCUCUUUUGUGCGGGAAGAUAAUGACGGUACCGC